rnacentral:tRNA from 1 species
UCCGAUAUGGUGUAGUGGCUAACAUCGCUCGCUCUCAACCUUCAAUGAGUUGGUGAUCCGAGCAGCCCGGGGUUCGAUUCCCCGUAUCGGAG